UUUAGGCAUAAUUGGAAAGACGGUUUUGGCCCCCCAUUGUAAAAUUUUUACAACUCUGCCAUUCACCUAUGUUCUUUUUCUCUCCUCGCUCUGAACUUUGGGAAACGUAUCCAAUUUCAAUUUCAAGCUAACAGAGACUUGGGUAGCUGAGAGCUUGGAGCUGGUUAGAAGGAAAUUAAUUGUAGUUUGACAAAGAGGGAAAGCAUUUCUUGCCUGGGUAAGCCGAGUUUCCGCUUUUUUGGAUUUGUUAUGUGCAUUAGUUCAACUGCUGCAACAUCAUUUUAAUCAGUUCUUUAGGGUCUCCUACGUUCUUCUGACGGGUAAAGCUCUAGCAACAAGUUUAGCUAGGC